CAUGCACGAAAGCGUGGGUAGCAAACAGGAUUAGAUACCCUGGUAGUCCACGCCCUAAACGAUGUCAACUAGGUGUUGGGAGGGUAAAACCUUUUAGUACCGUAGCUAACGCGAGAAGUUGACCGCCUGGGGAGUACGGCCGCAAGGUUAAAACUCAAAGGAAUUGACGGGGACCCGCACAAGCGGUGGAUGAUGUGGAUUAAUUCGAUGCAACGCGAAAAACCUUACCUACCCUUGACAUGUUCAGGAGUCCGAAGAGAUUUGGAUGUGCUCGAAAGAGAACUGGAACACAGGUGCUGCAUGGCUGUCGUCAGCUCGUGUCGUGAGAUGUUGGGUUAAGUCCCGCAACGAGCGCAACCCUUGUCGUUAAUUGCCAUCAUUGAGUUGGGCACUUUAACGAGACUGCCGGUGACAAACCGGAGGAAGGUGGGGAUGACGUCAAGUCCUCAUGGCCCUUAUGGGUAGGGCUUCGCACGUCAUACAAUGGUCGGUACAAAGGGUUGCCAACCCGCGAGGGGGAGCUAAUCCCAUAAAGCCGAUCGUAGUCCGGAUCGCAGGCUGCAACUCGCCUGCGUGAAGUCGGAAUCGCUAGUAAUCGUGGAUCAGCAUGUCACGGUGAAUACGUUCCCGGGUCUUGUACACACCGCCCGUCACACCAUGGGAGCGGGUUCCGCCAGAAGUAGGUAGCCUAACCGCAAGGAGGGCGCUUACCACGGCGGGGUUCGUGACUGGGGUGAAGUCGUAACAAGGUAACCAAGGGCGAA
rnacentral:rRNA from 1 species